rnacentral:lncRNA from 1 species
UGGACCAAAUGUCUACCAAUUGUGUACCAGUUACCUAUCAUGAAAACGGUUAUUCGCAGACAUUUGAUUGUAGACAUUGGAUCUAUGUAAUUUUCGACCUAAAAGAGAGGAAAAGCCGUCUUGGUUUACGGGGCCCGCUAAGCCGUGUGGAUGAGGACACGCAUAGGCCAUUACUUUGAACGAACGUUGGUGCCCUUAUUUCAUGAGGUAAAAACAACUUUGACAACUUUCAGGAUCUAUGUUUCUUCUCGCACUGCUGUGGCAUAAACAUUACGUUUUCUUUCUUCUGUCAUCACUCAUCGCAUUGAAAUUACAAAAGCAUCAAAAUUUCAACAACACACUGCUUACGACUUAGAAGUGUCGCCUCAACGCAGCGAGGGGAGGGGAGGGAGGGGUAGCAACGGCCGGCCGCCGUCGGUUCCGUCCGCACAUCUGGUUGAGGGGCGUCUCCUGUCGCCAUCUGUCAUCGUGAAUGGGGCCGUGCCGACGCGUCAGACGGGACGAACGGGGGAAGUCGGUCCAGAGUCACUGCGCCGCGCGGUUGUGUGAGCAAGCCGUGGGCUAGGUACCGCUCCAGGUCAGACAAUGGUUGGCACUGAAGAGUGCGGCGACACUACAGAGCUGUGAACGAAGACGGUGAACGGCGAGAUGUGGUGACCGCUUGACUGACCUCUGCCCAAAGUCGUGAUCUACCGCUGGGGUCAGUGCGUGAGAAGCUGGACUCGGCACCAACGGAGGACGCAGCUCGACGAGGAAGAUAUGCUGUGUUGAGGGACGUCUGCCGGUUACGGCCGGAAGGCUUCCGACGGGACUUGGCAGAACCCACAACAGCAGCAUGAACCCGGCGUGGAGUUAAUGCGUAAUUGCUCGCAUGAGCAACCGAAGAGCGACUUCCAAGCGAAGCUGCCGCAGAAUUCCUGGAGAUGCGCUGGGACAUGGAUCAUAGCAAGGUGGCUCUCAGCGGCAGCUGACCGCUGAGAUGUGUCUGAAACAGCCAGAAGGAAGACUCGAGCUGUGGAUCCAGGGCACUUCUGAACGGAAGGCCGGACCAGCUGUAGGGAGACUACAGAAAAGCCGUCGUUCUCAAUCUGCUGAACAGACUCCUACUGCAGAAGAUCAACUGGGGUUCGACAUGUUAGAACUGGGGUUAGACCGGUUACCAGUGCUCGUGUUCGUCACCUGUUGUUUGUCACUGCUGCGCUGCUGCUGUAAUUUUUGCUACCUGCUAAGCGUUCACAAUGUAUUUUAAGUGAAUAAUAACUUUUUUAGUGUUUGUCUUGAUUUGUAACGAGCAUAUCAAUUAUCAAGCAUGUUAACCUUUCAUCAAAUGAAGGACUCCACAUAAAAAUAGUAUAGGCUGUGGUGGUACAGACACAUACCAUGCUUGGCCGAUUGUUGUGCAUUGAUCUAGUCGUUGAAGCGUCCUGAAAGUCUGGAAAUAAACAGGCAUGGCCAAAUGGAUUGGUUCUAAUUAUUUUCCUGUGUGGUUUUAUCGUUUCCCUAUUGCGGGGAAACAAGUGGACAAUUUUGUUUGUAUAAAAACAAGUAUGUUUAUA